UAGCGAUACGCUGGCACGAGUGCUGUUCGAUAUGCAUUUUUAUGAUGAUUCUGAGGUUGAAGAGGUGAAGCAAAAGGGGCUGACGAUGUCGAUGUAUACGCCAUUCUCAGUGUGCAGCAUUGCAGAUGUGCCACAACAACGAGAUGGUGCGUCUUGCGGAAUCUUGACCGUCAAAUUCAUCGAGCAUCUCAGUGCUGGGAUGUCGGUAGAUAAAGUUGACCCUUUGAAGAUCAAAUAUUACCGACUCAAGCUUGCAAUUGAGGGUUUAAGGGGGGAGGCAUAUUUAUGAGGUAAAUUUCUUCAUGUCCGUUAAUUCACCUCACGCUGUAAGUUUCUUUUCGGCUGUCUAUGCCAACACAAAUACAAAAACUGAUUUGGUACUAUGAACUGAUUUGGCAGUAUGAUAUUUGGCAAUAUGAACAAUGAACUGAUUUGGUGGCAGUUACAAAUGAACAUAGUCUUCAUUCUGGAACUGCCCUUCAUAAAUGCCUUCAUCUGCACUGAACCCAAUUGUUAUUGCAGGUCGGUCUCAACCAAGGGUUGAUUGCAAUAUUCCAACCAAGAUGACCAUACACUGUUAUUUGAUGUAGGUUUUUUGUAUGACAUGGCUUUGCUUUAAUUGGUUUGGUUGUUCCAAGUUUUAUGUACACAAUCUCACAGUAACUGCCGAGUCGUUUUUCAUUUCAUGUAUUUGUCCGUGGUAUUUUGUUCCCCAAUAUUCUGAUUAUGGUCAAUAUGUAAACAUUACUGUGGAGCUUAUUGCAUGUUUUCUUUAUUUUGUGGCCA